UAAACGCCAGCAGCAGUCACUUGCUUUCUGCCUGCCUCGACCGUAACACCGACCUAACUGAUCACUUUCAACACGUGGAACCUCUCCUUGACUGGACUUUACAGGUGUCUCAGGCGGUAAACCCAUUUAAAGACUGGACUUGCAUCAGGUACUGGUCCUCUGCAUACUUCACCUGCUUUAUAACAAUGUUGUAAUGUGAUUUGCUUGUAUUAUGUUUUAAUAUUCUGCAUUUGCUUGGAUUUUUAAUCAAAUAAAAGCAUUACAAUUA